rnacentral:piRNA from 1 species
UACAGCUGGGCCUCCCACAUUUUUGCAUG